rnacentral:rRNA from 1 species
GACGAACGCUGGCGGCGUGCUUAACACAUGCAAGUCGAACGGAAAGGCCCUGCUUUUGUGGGGUGCUCGAGUGGCGAACGGGUGAGUAACACGUGGGUAACCUGCCCUUGACUUUGGGAUAACUUCAGGAAACUGGGGCUAAUACCGGAUAGGAGCUCCUGCUGCAUGGUGGGGGUUGGAAAGUUUCGGCGGUUGGGGAUGGACUCGCGGCUUAUCAGCUGGUUGGUGGGGUAGUGGCUUACCAAGGCUUUGACGGGUAGCCGGCCUGAGAGGGUGACCGGCCACAAUGGGACUGAGAUACGGCCCAGACUCCUACGGGAGGCAGCAGUGGGGAAUAUUGCACAAUGGGCGGAAGCCGGCUGAAGCAACGCCGCGUGCGGGAUGACGGCGUUCGGGGUGUAAACCGCUUUCGCCUGUGACGAAGAGUGAGUGACGGUAAUGGGUAAAGAAGCACCGGCUAACUACGUG